CUAACUUCCAACAGUUACUUGACCAAUGAGUGUGUGAGAUUGACCAUGAGAUUGCAUUUGCUUAAAAAACAAUACAUAUAAAUGCUUAUGCAACAAGUAAAGCCAACCACUCUCUCACCAACAACAUGCUUCUCAAACAAAUUGGUGGGAUCCAAUUCAUCCUUUCAGCAUUCAGCAACACCUAUAAUACCCAUUCAGGGACAGUUUACUGCCCAUCUCAUCAUUUACAGAUGGUACUUCUUUAGAAGUUUAAAAAAGCAUGCUUUAACUGCAUUCAAUCAGAAAUGGCAGAAAGGGAGGAGUUUAACCAGCCAUGCUGGAGAAGCAGGGCACAUGCUAGAUUUAUCAGAAUGAAAAACCUGAGAAUUUUGCAUGUGCCUUUGUUCUCCAGCUUGGACUCCAUCUCUUAUGAGCAAAGUGUAUGAAAAAUGGAGCACGAGCCAACUGCUGCAAGCAAUGUGGUUGUUUUCUGGCUCCAUGCGUCGCCCAGCACUGUGUUUACCCUUCUUCUCUUGGAUAGCAACACGAAACCCGACCUCCAAGGCUCCUUCCAAGAAUUUCAAGAACCAAGUUCUGGUUUCAUUCAAGACAGCCUCCCUUAGUUCUUUGAUUUCUUUUGCACCAUCUCCUUUAGCCCACUCCAGCUUCUCAGUUGAACUUGACUCUAUUGAAGACUUGGGAGUCUUCAAUGUACUCUUAGCAUGACUAAGACCUGUUCUUUUGCUAGUUCUUUCUGUGUCUGCAAUAAAACAGUGAGUUGAUAAUUGAAGUGAUUUAUCCUUUAAUGGGGUUGUUACAUUCGGUUGGUCGAUGAGCUGUUGCAGUGCGAAGAACUUGGUGAGAGAGAGGUGGGGGUUCUCUAGUGAGGCAGAGGAGCGAAGAUCCGCAAACAUACUAAUAGAAAAUAUGACAGUGAGCAAGUAUCUAUGAGAAACAGCAUCAACAAUAUGUUAAACAACUGUGAACUGUCUUGAAAAUAAAUGUUUUACCAGAGCAGAUUAUGUACUUACUUGAGGCACUUGAUAAGUAAGGCAGCAGUAGAUGCUUCUUUCUGAGCUUCUGCUGCAACCAGAGAAGCUAAAUAUCUCCUUCUAAGCAUUCCCUUAGAAAAUAUUCACAGUAUGAAAAUAAGAUAACAUUAUUUUGUGAAAAUGAUACAAGAAUUUUUCAAGAUUGACUGCAUAAAAUUGUUACCUUGUACCAUUCUAAGCGUGAUACAAGAUUAAUGCAUAAGACUCAGGAAAAAAAAGAGGGAUAAAAAAAAAUCAAUCAUCUCUCUAACUGAUAAAAAGGAAGGGAAAAGGAAUACAGCAAAGAGAACAGGAAAUGCACCUUUCCGGGCUUCAAGAGGCUUGGAGGCAGAGAGGCCCACGAUGAUGUCUCAGGCAAAAAGUUCUUAUCUGCAUUGCUAGACAGAGAAUUCAAGUUUGUGGUUUCCUGUUUAUUUAAUGAAGAUUUUGCAGAUUUGCUCCUCGAAAGCAUUGGAGCCUCCUUGACAUUGGAAACGGCAACCUCUGACUUUGAUGAAAGUGAUUCGGAUGAUUUCUGAUAGGAGUAGUUGGACGUGCCUGCAAUGCCCGAUAACUGUCACUUGAUUGACAUUUACAUAUUUUGCAGAAAUAUUAAAUCUUCUUAUGUUUAUAAAAGAAUUCGUUACAAUUCUUUUUGGUCAGCAUUUUGUUUAGAAUCAAAACUUCCAAGAAUACACAGAGAAAAAGCUCUGAAAAAAAAAAAAGGCACUCAAAAAUCUCUCCAGGGUCUCACAACAGGAAUAAUACUGUUUCUGUUACAAGUAUACAAAUUCAACUUAAGAAAGGCAGCCUCCUUUACAUC